rnacentral:rRNA from 1 species
UAGUCGUAACAAGGUAGCCGUAAGUCGUAACAGGGUAACCGUAAGUCGUAACAAGGUAACCGUAAGUCGUAACAAGGUAGCCGUAAGUCGUAACAAGGUAACCGUAGAGUUUGAUCAUGGCUCAUAUUGUAACGCUGGCGGCAUGCCUUACUCAUGCAAGUCGUAACAAGUAUUCUGAAUUCUUCUUACUAGCUUCUCGUGCCUAGGCUAGUUCUNNACCACNCNU